rnacentral:lncRNA from 1 species
UAGGCAAACGCUAUCAAAUAAGAGAUUAUUAAUAUCAAAGUUAAUAUAUGUAUUAUUUUUCCUUAUACAUCCUGCCAAAUGACCCCGUAGAUUUUUUACUACUCUCUGUCCUAUGAAGACUUAUUACAAGUAUUUUUUCCAACUCUCUUUCUCUCUCACACACACUAUUUCUCACACAUAAAUACAAAAAAAGAAUAGUUUGGUGCACUAAGUUGCCGCUAUACGCGGGGUCGAGGGAAAGGCCGGACAUAAAGGUCUAUUGUACGCAGCCUUAGCCUACAUUUCUGCAAGAGGUUGUUUCCACGGCUUGAAUCUGUGACCUCCUUGUCACAAUGCAUCAACUUUACCAGUUACGCCAAGACUUCCUUCACACACACAAAAUUCUCCUCCUUUAGACAAUCUUUCAAUGAAAAUUUGUUGAAAGGCCUUUGAGUUCUUUUGAAAUGUAGAGAAAUCAUCUCUUAAAGCCUCUGCUUUUGUACAAAUCUCUUGUUUUCUCUGUAAAACAAGAGUAGUGAAUUGUGACUGGUGAAGGCUACUUAAUUGAGGUCCUUUUUAUCCUUUCUAAAAUAACUAGCUAAAUCUUGAUUAUUGACUCAGUCUUGUAUGCAAUUUCUAAUAAAGGAAUUGUCAGCAGUCAACGAAACUUAAAACUCUUGAGGAAGAUUUUAUAGCAGGUCUUUUUCUUAGGGGAAAAGAAUCAGUCAUAGUUUGAAAUUUCGUCUCAUCUACUUUCUUGACAGCCAUUACAGUCAAAAUCACUAAUGGAAAGAAGAACAUGAAAAGUCCUUUCAAAAGGGCAAUACCCUUGUCCUACCAUUAGUAACUUCCACAUUUUCCAAAUAAAAAUGUUGAAAGCUUGAACAGGGGAGUGUUCACUUGUUUCUAUGCAGAAAUAGAAAUAUUAGCAAAAACCAUUAUAUUCCAAGUGUUGAAUUUUCGCUGGACGGCAAAUAUCGUACUGCUUUCGUUAAACAUCAAAUUCGUGCUUGGAUACUUGCUACCUCCAACCAACAUAGGUAUCGAAUAACUCUAUCUUACCAAGGCUUAGGCGGAUUGAAAGAAUUCAUCUAACAUUCUUUUGUCUCCGAAGGGACUUAAGUGCUGGUCAUUCAUGGUUUUUACUCACUUUAUUGACCAUUAACCGUACCUUGAGUGCUGCCACCUACAUGUAUUAUAUAUAUUACAACAACAACAACCCAGUAUAAUCCCACUUAGUGGGAUCUAGGGAGGAUAGUCUUUACGCAGACCUUACCCCUACCCUGGGGUAGAGAGUCUGUUUCCAAAUAGAUCCCCGGCAUCCUUACCUCCAAGAGCUUCCCACCUUGCUCUUGGGGAGACUCGAACUCACAACCUCUUGGUUGGAAGUNNNNNNNNNNNNNNNNNNNNNNNNNNNNNNNNNNNNNNNNNNNNNNNNNNNNNNNNNNNNNNNNNNNNNNNNNNNNNNNNNNNNNNNNNNNNNNNNNNNNNNNNNNAAACCUCUUGGUUGGAAGUGGGGGUUGCUUACCAUCACAAUGUAUUAUAUAUAUAUUGUUAUAGUAAAUUCAUUAGAAAUGGAGACAAUGCAGCUGCAUAAGUUAGAGAUUUCCAAAGAUGGAGUUGACUCCAAAGAGAGGUUGCAUAAAAGGAGCAACAUUACUUGAUGUCAUUUCACCAACAGAACAGGUUUUGAUAUAAAUCUUUAUGUAGUAAACUUUGUUGCUGUAUACAACCUCAGCCCCUCCAACCCCCCCUUGCAUAAAUUCAAGCUUCUAGUUCUAUGAAACCAAUCUAUAAGUCCCUCGAGUUUGCUAAUACAACACAAGAAAAAGGGAUACUACUUUUGGUAGCAGAGAACUUAGCUACAGCCUACAGGGGCAUAAUUGACUUGGUCUAUGUUGCUCGGAUCCUCCAAAAAUAUGUCUGGUGUGUGUCCGAUCCUCCAAAAGUCAUGCAUUGUUGGAGGAUCUGCCAUAGGGGCAGUGAUUUGGAGGAUCCGAGUAACAUAGGACUUGGUUGAUGCCUAAGAAGCCAUAUGCAUAUAACUAUAACUAACACUUCAAAAACCUUCAUUUACCAUGUUCAUGACAUAUGCCUUAAGCAUCAACCAAAUAAACAGGCUGAAACAAGCUAAUUUUUUUCUCUAUAAAUGACAUUAUACUAAUCUUGAUAUUUAUCUAACAUGAAGAGGAAAAAAGAGUUGACUAAUAUCAACCUCCAGUACUAUUCGUAGUGGAGCUACUAGCCCAUGUAUCGAUCACAGUAUCAGGUGAUGCUGGAAUAUUUUUCUUCAAUAAUACAGCAUCCUCCGUUUCAGAAGGAAUAUGCGCUUUUACCCUUCUAAGCUCAGUACAUUUACCAGUGAUCUCCUUUCUGUGGUAAUUUUUCCAUUCACCUUCCUUAAUAGUCUUCAACGUCUCGAGCACUUCUUCCAUUUUAGGCCUCAUGUCCUUCACACCUUGCAGGCACUGAAAAGCUAGUUCUGCAACUGAUAUAGUCAUCCUUCUAAUUUCAGCAUCUGUCUCGAAUCCAAGAGAUGGAUCGAUCACUUCAUCAAACGCACAUUUUAGUAUCCUGUUCAUCGCGAAGUUAGCCAAGUUAAUCUCUUCUAUAUGUCUAUUCAUAUCCACUGCAGGCAUUGAUGAUAUGAGCUCGACGAGGACAACCCCAAAGCUAUAAACAUCACUCUUAUCGGUAAGCUGGUAACAUUCAUGAUACUGAGGAUCAACAUAUCUCGGGGUCCCCUGAGGUGCAGUUGAGAUAUGAGUAACAUC